CCUUCUUUCUUUCUCUUUCUUUCUUUCUUUCUUUCCUUUCUUUCUUUCUUUCCUUCUUUCUUUCUUUCCUCCUCUCUCUCUCUCUCUCCCAACCCCUUCCUUCCUUCCUUGCUUCCAUGGAGUUUCACUCUUGUUGCCCAGGCUGGAGUGCAAUGGCACUAUCUGGUCUUACUGCAACCUUCGCCUCCCAGGUUCAGGCAAUUCUCCUGCCUCAGCCUCCCAAGUAGCUGGGAUUACAGGCGUGCGCCACCACACCUAGCUAAUUUUGUAUUUUUUUAGUAGAGACGGAGUUUCACCAUGUUUGUCAGGCUGGUCUUGAACUCCUGACCUCAAGUGAUCCACCCCCCUCAGCCUCCCAAAAUGCUGGAAUUACAGGUGUGAGCCACCACACCCAGCCUUAGUUGAUUUAUUUCCCACCCCCUGGCAUGCACAUGUCUCACCAAUAAGUCCAGAGUGGUUGCUCCUUCUCACUCCCUGGGCCCGGAGCUUUGGUGCAAGUCUCAGAGUCAAAGUCCAAAGAACCUGGAGUCUGACAUCCAAGGGAAGGAAGAACAGAAGGAAACAUCCAGCAUGGGGUAAAGAUGAAAGCCAGCAGAUUUAGCAAGCCAGCUUAUCCCAUCUUCUUCUGCCUGCUUUGUUCUAGCCGAUUGGAUGAUGCCCACCCACAUUGAUAGUGGGUCUGCCUCUCUCAGUCCACUGACUCAAAUGUCAAUCUCCUCUGGCAACAUCCUCACAGACACACCCAGAAACAAUACCUUACCAGCUAUCUGGGCAUCCUUCAAGCCAAUCAAGUUGACACCGAAUAUUAACCAUCACAGCAUCCUAGAGGAAUUCAUUUUCACCAUGUUCGAAAUAUUUUAUAUUCAAAAUUGCUUGUGCAGGAUCUGGAUUUUAAACAAACUUUUUUUUUUUUUAAUUUUUUGAGAAAGAGUCUUGCUUUGUUUUCCAGGCUAGAGUGCAGCCUGGAAUCUCAACUCACUGCAACCUCUGCCUCCCAGGUUCAAGUGAUUCUCCUGGCUUGCUGGAGUAUCUGAGACUGAGUAGCUGGGACUACAGGCAUAUGCCACCACGCCCAGCUAAUUUUUCUAUUUUUAGUAGAAACAGUGUUUCACCGUGUUGCCCAGUCUGGUCUCGAACUCCUGACCUCAAGUGAUCCACCUGCUUUGAUUUCCCAAAGUGCUAGGAUUACAGGCGUGAGCCACUGCACCCAGCCAAAUAAAUAUUUUUUAAAAAUUGCUUUGGUAACAGGUUCAUACAGUAGAGACUUGUGCCAGCCUGAGGCAAAACCAAAUGAGAAGAGUGAGGUGGACAGAUUACAGGGUCAAAUUGAUAUGUGUCUAAUCCUCCAAAGACAGGAUAUCCCAUUGAAGUCCCCAAGGCAAAAGACUUCAAGGGCUGAGGACUACAGAUGGGCUUUAUUACUGUGAGCAGGCCAGAUCAUCCUUAGAAGGGUUGGGCCUUAGAUGGAGCAUUUGUUUUUUGUUUUUUUGUGCGGUUUUUUUGAGUCAUGGUCUUUCUCUGUCACUCAGGCAGUGGCGCCAUCAUAGCUCACUGCAGCCUUGACCUCCUGGGCUCAAAAAAUCCUCCCACCUCAGCCUCCCCAGUAGCUGGGACUACAGGUGUGUGCCACCACACUCAGUCUCACCAUACUCACUACACUCAAAAUAUUUUUUUGGUAGAGAUGGGGGUCUCGCUAUAUUGCCCUGGCUGAUCUCAAACUCUUGGCCUUAAGCAAUCCUCCCACCUUAGCCUCCCAAAGAACAAGGAUUACAGGCAUGAGCCACCAUGCCUGGCCGAGACUGAACAUUUUGUAUGGGACCUCUCUUCCACCAGCCCAACUUUUUUGUGUGUGGAAGAGAUGGGAUCUCAUCAUGUUGUCCAGGCUGGUUUUGAAUUUCUGGGUUCAGGCAAUCCUGCCUCAGCCUAGCAAAGUGCUGGAGUUACAGGCGUGAGCCACCGUGCCUGGCAGCCCAGUAUUUUUUGUGUGUGAAUAUCAUUUAAAUGAUUAAGUACAGGCUAGAGCAAACAGAAGGAACUAGUAAAUAUAAUCAUUAGAAGAGUCGUACAGCUAUUCGUUUUUCAUUUAGCAUAAUGAAAUACUUCAUUCAUUCAGCAUUUAACGACUAGUAGAAUUUGUGCUUCAGUGGAGAAUACAGACAUCAAAACACCUCUCAGCUUCCAAGAGCACACAUUCUAGUGGAGAAGAUGAAGUUGACAAGGCAUGAACACAGACAGCUUUGUGCAGUGUGCCAAGAGUCCAGAGGGGCUGUUGGAACAUAUUAGGGUGGACUUAGCUUUUCUGAGGGUGAAGAGGGACAGUAAUGCUUGAGUUUGAGUUUGAUUUUGGAGAAGGAAGGUACUGAAAGCAGACAGCAGAGCACAUGCAAAGCCAGGUAGUUGUGAAAGAAGCCACUUGGUUCAGAGGUUAGAGUGAUGCAGGGUUGAAAUGUAUGGUUGGAAAGUAGAGUAUGGGCAUGAUAGAUGAGGCUGCAGAAGGGGGCAGGAACAGCUCUUGAAGGGCUGCCACACAUGCACUGAUGCACUUGGAAUGUGGUGAAUAAACAAUGAGGAACAAACCAUAAAAAAGCUUUAGGGCUGGGCAUGGUGGCUCAUGCCUGUAAGCUCAGCAUUUUGGGAGGCUGUGCUGGGAGGAUCACUUGAGCUCAGGUGUUUGAGACCAGCCUGGGCAAUAUGGCAAAACCUCACCUCUACAAAAGAUAAAAAACUUAGCCAGGUGUGGUGGCGCGUGUCCCACGGCUACUCUGGAGGCUGAGGUGGGAGGAUCAUCUGAGCCUGGGAGGUCGAGGCUGCAGUGAGCCAUGAUAGUGCCACUGCACUCCAGCCUGGGUGACAAAGCAAGACUUCGGCACACACACAAAAAAAUUCCGUUAGGCCUAGAAAUGCCAUAAUCAUAUUUGUAUUUUAAUAGAUCACCAAGAAUGCAGUGAGAAUGAUUAUAAAGGGCAAGAACAACAAAGAGGGACUACUGAGAAGGCCACAGCCAUCACUUGGCAUAAGUCAUAUGAAUGCAUCUCCAUUAUGAACAAUUUAAAUAGUUCAGAAGCUAUUCCAGAAGGAACACAUUAGCCUAUGAAUGGAUAUUUAGAUUGUUUCCAAUUUUCUUCUGUUACAAACUAUGAACAUGCUUGUACAGUUGCUCAAUUAAUUGCUUCCAAAAAAGAUGACUUCUUAAAAUGGUCUUAAAAGGCUAGAUGACCAUUCUGUUGGCACAGCUAACAAGAUUUUUCCAAGAGUUAAGGGGAGUAUAAGAUGGUAAAAGUGCAUUAAGAUUACUUCAGACCCAAUUAAUAUCAGCCACAGCAUGACUGAGCCCAGCACUGUGAAGAUCAGCACUGAUUCUAUUAGAAUCCAGUCUGACACUGGCACUCAUAUAUUGAGUGCGGCAUUAUUCACAAUAGCAAAGUCAUAGAAUCCACCUAAGUGUCCGGUGGAUUGGAUAAAGAAAAUGUGGUACAUAUACAUCAGGAAAUACUACGCAGCCAUAAAAAUAAUGAAAUUAUCUCCUCUGCCCCAGUACCUCCCAAUAUACGCAUGUAACAAAUAUGCAUAUGUAUCCUCUGGAUCCAAAAUAAAACUUAAAAACAAAAAAGAAUGCAGUGUGAGAGAGGAAGAACUCUCAAAGCUCCCAAGGAUAGGCUUGGGAAGAGUAGGUGAAUGAGAUGGAAAUGUUCUCUAUUUUUCCUCCCUUGGAAAGCCUGGCCUUAAAGAGGAAACUGGUGACAAGGGAAAAUCAGGCUGAGCCUUUCAGAGCAAUUCGGCACGUGCAGAUGAUGGUGCAGGAGAUGGUGUCUGGCCCCACACCCCACCACCACUGCUGCUGUUGGCCAGCUGUCAGUGGUUGGUCAUGGAAGGCUAUUUGAUAUGCAAAGCUUAAAACAAGUCGCCUCCACUCCACCCUUUCUGCAGCAGCUCUCUUCCUAGUUCACCUGUUAAUCACUGAAACAACUGAAACCCUUCCAAGGUCUAAGAUCAGAUUUGUUUGGGGUCAUACCUUCCUUAGGUUCUGUUCCAACACCAUCUGUGACAGAUUGAUGCUGAUGUUAGUUCUCAGCAGAAAGCCUUGCAAGGAUCAAGAAUUCACAUUAUCGGCCAGGCACAGUGGCGCAUGCCUGUAAUCUCAGCACUUUGGGAGGCCGAGGUGGGCGGAUCACUUGAGGUCAGGAGUUCAAGACCAGCCUGGCCAACAUAGCAGAACACUGUCUCUACUAAAAAUACAAAAACUAGCUGGGCAUGGUGGCACACCUGUAAUCCCAGCCUCGGCCUCCCAAAGUGCUGUUAUUAUAGGCAUGAGCCACCAUGCCUGGUCACCCCCAGUAUUUUAUUUAUUUUUCUUAUUUUAUUUAUUUUUUAUUUUUUUGAGACAGACUCUCGCUCUGCCAUCCAGCCUGGAGUGCAGUGGCACGAUCUCAGCUCACUGCAAACUCUGCCUCCCGGGUUCAAAAGAUUCUCAUGCCUCAGCCACCCGAGUAACUGGGAUUACAGCACAUAAGAAAAGGAAAAUAGGACACAAACAGGUACAGAGAGAAGACCAUGUGGAGACAGAGGGAAAAGACAGCCAUCUACAAACCAAGGAGAGAGGCCUUAGAAGAAACCAAUCCUGCUGAUAACCUUGAUCUGACUUCUAGCAUCCAAAAUUGUGAGAAAAUGAAUUUCUGUUCCUUCGGCCACUCAGACUGUGCUACCUUGUUAUAACAGCCCUAGCAAAAUAUACCUGCAUUUUCACUCUCCUUUGCCCCUACAUAGAGCCAGGAGAAUGCAGUGGUGCAAUCUUGGCUCACCUCUGCUUUCCAGGUUCAAGCAAUUCUCCUACCUCAGCCUCCUGAGUAGCUGGGACUACAGGCACGCACCACCACGCCGAGUGAAUUUUUGUAUUUUUUUAGUAGAGAUGGGGUUUUGCCUUGUUGGCCAGGUUGGGCAGGCUGGUCUCAAAUUCCUGACCUCAGGUGAUCCACUUGUCUCAGUCUCCCAAAGUGCUGGGAUUAUAGGUGUGAGCCACUGCCCUUGGCCCUAUAAAGGCACUCAUAAGAUUUAUGCUUAGAUGUCAUCAGUCCCUCUCAGAAAUAUGAUGCUUUUUCUCCGGUUACAGAUUUCACAACUAGAACAGACUCUAGACCAGAGAUCCCAAACUGGUACCUACGGGUUGAAUCUGGUCACAAACAUUUUGUUUUGGUCCCCACAAUAUUUAAAAAAAAAUUUUAGGCCGGGCGCAGUGGCUCACGCCUGUAAUCCCAGCACUUUGGGAGGCGGAGGUGGGUGGAUCACAAGGUCAGGAGAUCGAGACCAUCUUGGUUAACACGGUGAAACCCUGUCUCUAUUAAAAAUACAAAAAAUUAGCCGGGCGUGGUGGUGGGCGCCUGUAGUCCCAGCUACUCGGGAGGCUGAGGCAGGAGAAUGGCGUGAACCCGGGAGGUGGAGCUGGCAGUGAGCCAAGAUCGUGCCACUGCACUCUAGCCUGGGCAACAGAUUGAGACUCCAUCUCAAAAAAAAAAAAAAAAAUUAAUGGUGGCGAACAUUUAAAACUUGAGGGCAGCCAGGCAUGGUGGCACACACCUGUAAUCCUAGCACUUUGUGAUCCACCUGACUCGACCUCCCAAAGUGCUAGGCUUCUCUUAGAAAACAAGCCUUGGCUUCACUAGGCCUUUCUGGCAACAGCCUGUUGUAGUGAAAUAGUCGUACUCUCUGUAGAAGGAGCACAUACCCUCCACUAACCUACAGUCUCCAUCCAGCCUACUGUUCACCAUCUGCAUCUAUGACUCUUGUCAACUAAAAAGGACAAAAAUGUUUUCUCCUCCUCCCUUCAGAACGUCUUCUCAAUAGCAAGAGAUAUGGCAGUUAUGAUUGUGAUAUUUCCUUUGAAUUUUGUUCAACUACCACAUUUGAUAUUUUAUCUGAUUAAAAGCUGAGCAUGAAACUGA